rnacentral:lncRNA from 1 species
UUGCCUACAGAUGGUGUGACAGGAGAUGUGUGCCCUGCAGGGACAUACUGCCCACCUGGGUCCCCUUUACCCAUCCCCUGUCCUCCAGGAACCUACAGCAAUGUGAGUGGGCUGAGAAGCCUUGGUCAGUGCUUGGACUGCCCACCUGGCCUUUAUUGUGAUGGGACAAAUACCCGAGCUCCCUCAGGACCGUGUGAGCCUGGAUACUACUGUACAGGAGGUGCCAAAAGUGCUCUUCAGCAUGUGGUCAUGGAAGGACAUUAUUCCUCAGCAGGAGCUUUCAAGCCAGAGCUGUGUCCUCUUGGCAGCUUCCAGCCUGACCGUGGUCAGUCUCAUUGCAGGGACUGUCCAGAGGGAGCAUUCUGCAAUGAGAUAGGACUGGCUGAAGCCCAGCCUUGUCCAAAGGGACAUUUUUGCUUGGGUGGAAGUUCCCUGCCUCUCCCUUGUCCAGUGGGAAUGUAUACAGAUAUGCUUGGGGCAGGUUCAUGUAAGCCCUGCCCAGCAGGCAGGUACUGCAGCAUGGCAGGUCUGACUGAGCCAGAAGGACCUUGCCAGCCUGGAUAUUACUGCAGCCAAGGAUCCAGCAGCUCCUCACCUGUGAGUACUCAUUACCUUGUGUUACUGCAGACCAUUAGGCACUACAGGAGAUUUCAUGGGCUGUAUCAAUCUCAUUUCCUUUGCUUCAGGUGGGCCUUUUGUUUGGAGAUCUUUGUCAACCAGGAUAUUACUGCCCUGCUGGCACGACGCACCCAAAAGAGAUGGCAUGUCCUGCUGGCACCUGGAAUGGCCAGAGGGGAGCCCAGGAUGCCACUUGGUGUCUUCCUUGUCCUCCUGGGUUCUUCUGCAGUAUGUCUGGCCAAGAUGCUCCUGUAGGACUUUGUGCACAAGGUGAGACAAAACCAGAACUUUUUAGCUACUCAGAAAUUCAGGGGGGUUUUUUGCAUGACAGAGAGGACUUGUAUGCUUUCUUCUUCAAGGUUACUACUGCACAGGAGGGGCAAAGACUGCAAAGCCAGAGGAUGGUGUCACUGGAGAUGUCUGCCCUCGAGGACAUUUCUGCCCUGCAGGUUCAGCAGCACCUUCUCCCUGCCCCAGUGGUGAAUACAGCAAUGCAACAGGUCAGCAAUUGGAUCUUCGCAGCCUCACUGUGGCUUGGGAAAGCUAGAAGCAAAUCCUGUUUUUUGUCUGCAUCCAAGAAUAGCAGUUGCUAGCUGCUAACUGUUACAAGCAUUCAGUAUUUUUCUUGGGACAGAGGAAAGGGAUUCUUGGUUGUUUUUUUCCUUCCUUUUAUUCCUCUGAUGCCACGUGGAGGGUACAAUUCACACCCAUAGCACGCAGGUCAAAUGGGGUUGUAGCAGUGACACUAAGUGAGCAAUUAACUCAGUUUCCUCGCUGUUCUGCCUGCCACCUACCGGUGUGAUGUGAGGUUACUGGGACUCGGGCUGGAGUGGAUUUGAGAAACUUGCUGGAUGGAUCUCACCAGUCGUUGCCAGGGGGCUUGCAGAAUAACUGUUGCAUCUGCUGCUUUCUUUAAGUGCACAGCUUGGUAGAAGAAAGAUGUCUGUGUGGCAUCUUCUUCCAGUUCAUGACUUAUUUCCUCUGUAGGUCAAGACAAAUGUUUUCCAUGUCCUGCUGGGUUCCACUGUCCUAAAGGACUGCGGCGCCGCUGCCCUCCUGGCUUCUAUUGCCCUCAGAGAACAGGAAUCAGUUUUUAUCCUUGUCCCCCUGGGACUUUCAACCCCUCUUACGGACUCAGCCAGGCUGAGAGGUGCCAGAAGUGCCCAGCAGGUGAGGAGAUGGCUGAGUACUCUCAUUGUCUACAUGGAGCAGCAUCAGAGGGUGAUCUCUGUGUAUCUCUUCUCCUAAUCCACUG